GGACGUGGCUCAAGUGGUAGCGCGCUCUCCUGACAUGCGCGGGGCGCUGGGUUCGAUCCUCAGCACCA
rnacentral:tRNA from 1 species